GCAUUGUCCAGCAAGCACUAAACUCAGAGAAGUACCUGCUAAAAAGGCAGGGGCUCAGGGCAGGGAGUUUUGCUCACUGGCUGAGCAGGCUCAGGGAGGGCUUCUUGGGGCAGAAAACCUAGUGCUGAAUUUGAUAGGAAAGGUUGGAAUCUCCCAGGUCAGGAGGGCAAAGCAAUGGGUAACAGAUGGCAAGCUGGCAUAGAGGCUG
rnacentral:lncRNA from 1 species